CAAGUCGAACGGGGUUAAGGGGCUUGCUCCUUAAUCUAGUGGCGAACGGGUGAGUAAUGCAUCGGAACGUACCCGGGAGUGGGGGAUAACGCACCGAAAGGUGUGCUAAUACCGCAUAUUCUGUGAGCAGGAAAGCAGGGGAUCGCAAGACCUUGUGCUUCCGGAGCGGCCGAUGUCGGAUUAGCUAGUUGGUGAGGUAAAGGCUCACCAAGGCGACGAUCCGUAGCGGGUCUGAGAGGAUGAUCCGCCACACUGGGACUGAGACACGGCCCAGACUCCUACGGGAGGCAGCAGUGGGGAAUUUUGGACAAUGGGCGCAAGCCUGAUCCAGCCAUGCCGCGUGUCUGAAGAAGGCCUUCGGGUUGUAAAGGACUUUUGUCAGGAAGGAAAACCCAGUGGCUAAUAUGCCAUUGGGGAUGAACAGUACCUGAAC
rnacentral:rRNA from 1 species